UGAAAAAAAUAAAUCAAAAUACGAAUUAAUUAAAUAAUAUCUAUUAUUUACAUUAGAUGUUCGAAUUGUAGUCCACCUGCCGCAAUAAACAUUUCGAAUACCCAAGACGUAAAAUAGCCGCAAAAAAAUGUUCAAUUCGAACAUCUAGUGUAGAUAAUAUUAGUUAGUUUGUAACGUUUCAAUCAGCCGAUUGAACGCUACACCAAGCUCCGCUUGGUAUUGGUCCCUCGGACUAUAUAUUUCUUUAAGCGACCCUACUAUCAUCAAAUCAAUUAGUACAUCUCUUAGAAGGUAUUUAAUCCGAUACAAAUUUGUACUUCCUUCUUUUGACAUUGCCACGUAAAUCAGGCACAAUAUUGGCAUACAUUAUCGUGUUUGUGUGUAUGCCGUUAAACAAUGGCCCCUACCUCGGGAAGAAGACUUUAAUCAAGCACUGCCUGGAAAAGAAGACACACUACCUUGAAGAGCGGAACUGGCUUGCAACCGUAUCCUGAUGCAUCAGUAGAAUUAAUUAGACAAGACAGCCCUACAGAGAUAAGACAGCCCAACAAGGUAGCCCUAGACUUCCCCUAACUGCCGGCGACGACAAAUUCUGCAGGGAUUGGGGACCUCCUUUAGGAACUGUGACGGAAAGACUUAAAGCUGAGUAAAUUUUUAUCUUUAUAACUUUUGUACCGAUUACCAGCAGGGUCUCGGUCACGGGCUCAGAAAAUUAACUUGGUUGUCUGUAUACAAUAAAAUGAUUUUUGUUAAGUUUUUUUUUAUAUCUUAAUAAAUAGUAUAUUUAAAAUGA
rnacentral:lncRNA from 1 species